UUCUAGCCCCGAUUGUAGCAAUUGUUUGAGCUCUUUUUUGUUUUUUCUUUUUUAAAAAAUAAAAAAAGCGAGUGCGCAAAGCGGGAAAUAGC
rfam:Tenacibaculum dicentrarchi strain AY7486TD, complete genome.